UAGGGAAUCUUCCACAAUGGACGCAAGUCUGAUGGAGCAACGCCGCGUGAGUGAAGAAGGCUUUCGGGUCGUAAAACUCUGUUAUUGAAGAAGAACGUGUGUGACAGUAACUGGUCAUGCAGUGACGGUAUUCAAUCAGAAAGUCACGGCUAACUACGUGCCAGCAGCCGCGGUAAUACGUAGGUGGCAAGCGUUGUCCGGAUUUAUUGGGCGUAAAGCGAGUGCAGGCGGUCUUUUAAGUCUGAUGUGGAAGCCUUCGGCUUAACCGAAGAAGGGCAUUGGAAACUGGGAGACUUGAGUGCAGAAGAGGAGAGUGGAACUCCAUGUGUAGCGGUGAAAUGCGUAGAUAUAUGGAAGAACACCAGUGGCGAAGGCGGCUCUCUGGUCUGUAACUGACGCUGAGGCUCGAAAGCGUGGGUAGCAAACAGGAUUAGAUACCC
rnacentral:rRNA from 1 species